AUUUUAUGUGGUGUCUUAUUAUUUUGGUCUGUUAUGUAACUUGCAUGCUGUCCUCUUUGUUAACAUUUGACUUUUUUUCCAUCUCCCACCUCACAUCAUGAUAAAUGGAAGGGGAUUAAUAAAAUAAAUGCGCUGUGAGUUGAAAAUGCAUUCUGCCGACUUUUGUAUGACUGAUGAUCUAAGAAUCCCUUAAUUCACAUCCAAGCAAACUAUUUCCAGAAACAUGGGGACAUCAGGGGAAAAACAGCUCUCCAUAAAGCAAAAAUAAAACAAAAACGUUGAUAGUCAGCCCUCCACACUUGCAGGUUUGACUUUUGUUGAUUUGAUUGUUUGCAGAUUUGUUUAAAAUGUUCCCUCUAGGAAUCUUUAGGUCCUCCAUGGAUUCAUGCUAGUAGAUCUAGAGAUUCCUAGAAAGAGUUCUAUGAAUCUCUAGGUUCUCCAACAGGAUUCUUUAGUCAGUUUCUGGUGGAAGUUAGCCAUAGUCAUGCUGAAGCACCUGGUGAAUUUGUCCAUUGCAGACAGAAAAGAAAUCUAAGUCUGCAACAAUCCAAAAAGUGGGUUCUGAUGUUAUAAGACUUAGAAUAAUAGAAUCAUAGACUUACACCACUCUAACUCACUAUUAGAAGGCAUGUUGUUUAUAUUUAUUUCUUACUACAGUCAACAAGUUGCAGAUUGAGCUCACGAGGGGCCGGCUUCUGUUUUGUUUACUGCUGAUUGUUGACUUUGAAGUGGAAGUAUCCUGUUCUAUUCUUCAGUAUCCUGUUCACCAGCAACACAGAACUCCAUCCCUUGAUGCAGCCAGAUGGAUUUUAAGGUGACAAUGAAACAUCCAUAUUGAAACUGCUGAGACGUACCAUAACAUGAUGCACGGUGUCUGAUGAAACUUGUGGAGCAUAACAAUAAAGCUGUGUGUCAUCAACGUAAAAGUCAUAACACUAAAUAAGAUUACCUAGCAACAAUGGAUAUAAAAUGAAAGCAACAAAGGACCCAGAGAAGAACCAUAUGUAGACUCUACCAAAAGAGAAAAAUUGCAUGAGACAGAACCAUAAGCCAGAACAUUAAAAUAAUGGACUGAGAGAUAGAAAGUAAGUAUUUAAUACUUGUGGG
rnacentral:lncRNA from 1 species